ensembl:lncRNA
CCGAGGACCAGGAGAUGGUUGAUGAGCUGGUGGCUAGCGCCCCCUUCCCACUAACAAGACAACUCUGGGUGGGCCUGCGCAGGUCAAUUACAGGAAGCUCCUGGUUCUGGAUGUCCCGUGACCCAAUGGACUUCACCCAAUGGGAUGCAGCCUCACAUCAUUCCAGCCCCUGUGGGGGCGUGUCUAGUGUGGAACGUUCCACAUGGAGGCAAAGCUCUUGUGAAGAACAUCUUGAUUUCAUCUGCGUAACAGGUCCGACAGAGGGAGACAACAAGGUGCACUUCUACAGUUCAACCAGACAGAAACAAACUCAAUGUGUAUAGUUUGGCCUCCUUGGGGAAUACUGCUCCUGAUUCCCAAGUAGUCCUAAGUAGCAACAUUUCUGAAUGCUAAAGCUCAGAGCUUGGUCUGUGGUAGCUAGCUAUUUCUGCAUUUUGUCAUAAUGAGCAUUGUUAACAAUUCUUACGAUGCCUAUCCUUUAGGGGUGUGAAUCUUUGGCUUCAGACGAUUCGAUUCGAUUAACGAUUCAGUAGUUGGCGAUUCGAUUCAAG